GAUGAAGAACGCAGCGAAAUGCGAUACUUGGUGUGAAUUGCAGAAUCCCGUGAACCAUCGAGUCUUUGAACGCAAGUUGCGCCCGAAGCCAUUAGGCCGAGGGCACGCCUGCCUGGGCGUCACACGUCGUUGCCCCCCCAUCUACUCCUUCGGGAUUGCGGGGGGCGGAUGAUGGCCUCCCGUGCGCCUCGCCGCGCGGUUGGCAUAAAUGCCAAUUCCUCGGCGACGCACGCCACGACAAUCGGUGGUUGCGAAACCUCGGUUGCCCGUCGUGUGCGGUCGUCGCGCAUCGAGGGCUCGAAAAAAUUGCCGGGUUCCGGCUCGGCUUUCAACGCGACCCCAGGUCAGGCGGGGUUACCCGCUGAAUUUAAGCAUAUCAAUAAGCGGAGGA
rnacentral:misc_RNA from 1 species